rnacentral:tRNA from 1 species
GGGCCCGUAGUCUAGCGGUAGGAUUGAAAGCCGUUCCCUAAAGCCCGCCUUACACGGCGCCCGCGCCACAGCGCCUGAGCGCGCGGGAGAUCCCGGGUUCAAAUCCCGGCGGGCCCACCA